UGUGGUUAAGUUAAUAAGGGCACACGGUGGAUGCCUUGGCGUUAGGAGCCGAAGAAGGACGCAGCGAACUGCGAUAAGCCUCGGGGAGUGGUAAGCACACUUUGAUCCGGGGAUCUCCGAAUGGGGAAACCCACCAUCUGUAAUGGGAUGGUAUCCUUCACUGAAUACAUAGGUGAUGAGAGGGCAGACCCGGUGAACUGAAACAUCUAAGUAGCCGGAGGAAGAGAAAACAAUAGUGAUUCCGUCAGUAGUGGCGAGCGAACGCGGAAGAGCCUAAACCGUAGGAUUUAUCCUACGGGGUUGUGGGGCGUUUCAUAUAGGAGUUACAAAAGACAGAUGUAGGUGAACAGUUUGGGAAGACUGACCAAAGAGCGUGAUAGUCGCGUAACCCAAACAUCUGUCUCUCCGAGACCAACCCCGAGUAGCGCGGGACACGUGAAAUCCCGUGUGAAUCUGGCAGGACCAUCUGCUAAGGCUAAAUACUACCUAACGACCGAUAGUGAACCAGUACCGUGAGGGAAAGGUGAAAAGCACCCCGGGAGGGGAGUGAAAUAGUACCUGAAACCGUGUGCUUACAAAUAGUCGGAGCACUUUUUAUGUGUGACGGCGUGCCUUUUGUAGAAUGAACCGGCGAGUUACGAUAGCGUGCGAGGUUAAGGUCGAAGAGACGGAGCCGUAGCGAAAGCGAGUCUGAAUAGGGCGAAAGUACGUUGUCGUAGACCCGAAACCGGUGUGAUCUAGCCAUGUCCAGGGUGAAGGUAGGGUAACACCUACUGGAGGCCCGAACCCACGCACGUUGAAAAGUGCGGGGAUGAGGUGUGGCUAGCGGUGAAAUUCCAAUCGAACUCGGAGAUAGCUGGUUCUCCCCGAAAUAGCUUUAGGGCUAGCCUCGGAAUAAAGAGUCUUGGAGGUAGAGCACUGAUUGGACUAGGGGCCCUCAUCGGGUUACCGAAUUCAGUCAAACUCCGAAUGCCAAGUACUUAUGUCCGGGAGUCAGACGGUGAGUGCUAAGAUCCAUCGUCAAAAGGGAAACAGCCCAGACCAUCAGCUAAGGCCCCCAAGUGUAUGUUAAGUGGGAAACGAUGUGGAGUUGCCCAGACAACCAGGAUGUUGGCUUAGAAGCAGCCACCAUUUAAAGAGUGCGUAAUAGCUCACUGGUCGAGUGACUCUGCGCGGAAAAUGUAACGGGGCUAAACAUACCGCCGAAGCUAUGGCAGUCCUUACGGACUGGGUAGGGGAGCGUUCCAAGCAGCAGUGAAGCCGUAUCGUGAGGAGCGGUGGAGCGCUUGGAAGUGAGAAUGCCGGUGUAAGUAGCGAAAAGACAAGUGAGAAUCUUGUCCACCGAAAGCCUAAGGUUUCCUGGGGAAGGCUCGUCCUCCCAGGGUUAGUCGGGACCUAAGCUGAGGCCGAAAGGCGUAGGCGAUGGACAACUGGUUGAUAUUCCAGUACCACCUCUGUUCCGCUUGAGCAAUGGCGUGACGCAGGAGGAUAGGGUGAGCGGCCUAUUGGAUGGCCGUCUAAGCAGUAAGUGUGGUGUGUAGGCAAAUCCGCACACCAUCAAGCACAAGCUGUGAUGGCGAGGGAAAUAUAAGUACCGAAGUCCCUGAUUUCACACUGCCAAGAAAAGCGUCUAGCGAGGAACAAGGUGCCCGUACCGCAAACCGACACAGGUAGGCGAGGAGAGAAUCCUAAGGUGCGCGGGAUAACUCUUGCUAAGGAACUCGGCAAAAUGGCCCCGUAACUUCGGGAGAAGGGGCGCCUCGGUAGGGUUUAUAGCCGGAGGAGGCCGCAGUGAAAAGGCCCAAGCGACUGUUUAGCAAAAACACAGGUCUCUGCGAAGCCGCAAGGCGAAGUAUAGGGGCUGACGCCUGCCCGGUGCUGGAAGGUUAAGGGGAUGAGUUAGCGCAAGCGAAGCUUUGAACCGAAGCCCCAGUAAACGGCGGCCGUAACUAUAACGGUCCUAAGGUAGCGAAAUUCCUUGUCGGGUAAGUUCCGACCCGCACGAAAGGCGUAACGACUUGGGCGCUGUCUCGGCAAGAGACCCGGUGAAAUCAUAAUACCUGUGAAGAUGCAGGUUACCCGCGACAAGACGGAAAGACCCCAUGGAGCUUUACUGUAGCCUGGUAUUGAAACUUUGUGCAUCAUGUACAGAAUAGGUGGGAAGCUGUGAAGCGAGGGCGCCAGCCUUCGUGGAGCUGUCGUUGGGAUACCACCCUUGAUGUACGGAGUUUCUAACUUGCCGCCCUUAUCGGGUGGAAGGACCAUGCCAGGUGGGCAGUUUGACUGGGGCGGUCGCCUCCUAAAGAGUAACGGAGGCGCCCAAAGGUUCCCUCAGAAUGGUCGGAAAUCAUUCGUAGAGUGUAAAGGCACAAGGGAGCUUGACUGCGAGACCUACAAGUCGAGCAGGGACGAAAGUCGGGCUUAGUGAUCCGGUGGUUCCGCAUGGAAGGGCCAUCGCUCAACGGAUAAAAGCUACCCUGGGGAUAACAGGCUUAUCUCCCCCAAGAGUCCACAUCGACGGGGAGGUUUGGCACCUCGAUGUCGGCUCAUCGCAUCCUGGGGCUGAAGUAGGUCCCAAGGGUUGGGCUGUUCGCCCAUUAAAGCGGUACGCGAGCUGGGUUCAGAACGUCGUGAGACAGUUCGGUCCCUAUCUGUCGCGGGCGUAGGAAGUUUGAGGAGAGCUGUCCUUAGUACGAGAGGACCGGGAUGGACGCACCUCUGGUGCACCAGUUGUCACGCCAGUGGCACAGCUGGGUAGCUAUGUGCGGACGGGAUAAGCGCUGAAAGCAUCUAAGCGUGAAGCCCCCUUCAAGAUGAGACUUCCCAUAGCGCAAGCUAGUAAGACCCCUUAUAGACGAUGAGGUUGAUAGGUUCGGUGUGGAAGUGCAGUAAUGCAUGGAGCUGACGAAUACUAAUCGGUCGAGGACUUAUCCACA
rnacentral:rRNA from 1 species